rnacentral:tRNA from 1 species
AAUGAAGUGCCUGAAAAAAAGGAUUAUUUUGAUAGAAUAAGUCAUGCAUUUAUGCCUUCAUUU